rnacentral:lncRNA from 1 species
UGGAUUUUCUUAAAGUGCGAUCAUAGUCCGAUAAAGAUGAUGAUUCUUUCUGAGCUUCACGCCUCUUUUUUUGUUCAGCCUCAACCCUUUGUCGUAGAUCUUCUGGCCGUAGUAAGAGGUACGGCUUCUCAGGGUUUCGCUUGGCUUCUCUUUCAGUCUUAAGUUUCUUGAAGAAACUAUCCACAUCUGAUUUUACUGAAGCAUUUAGUUCUGCAUCAGUCAUCUCAUAGGACAACUUCUUAGGAAUGAUAGCUUGUUUCUUUUCGGAGGCUUUCUUUUUUGGCGGCGGGGCGGCCGACACAUUUGAUUUUGUGGCCGGCCUCUUCUUUCGUGCU